GAUGAAGAACGUAGCGAAAUGCGAUAAGUAGUGUGAAUUGCAGAAUUCAGUGAAUCAUCGAAUCUUUGAACGCACAUUGCGCCCCUUGGUAUUCCAUGGGGCAUGCCUGUUCUAGCGUCAUUUGUACCUUCAAGCUCUGCUUGGUGUUGGGUGUUUGUCCUUGCUCUAGUGGCGGGACUCGCCUUAAAGUAAUUGGCAGCCAGUGUUUUGGUUUUGAAGCGCAGCACAAGUCGCGAUUCAAGUCUAUACGCUAGUUUCCACAAGUCUUUUAUCACUUUUGACCUCGGAUCAGGUAGGGAUACCCGCUGAACUUAAGCAUAUCAAUAAGCGGAGGA
rnacentral:misc_RNA from 1 species